AGAACGAACGCUGGCGGCAUGCCUAACACAUGCAAGUCGAACGUGAUCCAGGCUUCGGCCUGGUGAAAGUGGCAGACGGGUGAGUAACGCGUGGGAACCUGCCCUGUGGUAGGGAAUAACCGUGGGAAACUGCGGCUAAUACCCUAUGAGUCCUUCGGGAGAAAGAUUUAUCGCCAUAGGAGGGGCCCGCGUCGGAUUAGGUAGUUGGUGGGGUAACGGCCUACCAAGCCUUCGAUCCGUAGCUGGUCUGAGAGGAUGAUCAGCCACACUGGGACUGAGACACGGCCCAGACUCCUACGGGAGGCAGCAGUGGGGAAUAUUGGACAAUGGGGGCAACCCUGAUCCAGCAAUGCCGCGUGAGUGAUGAAGGCCUUAGGGUUGUAAAGCUCUUUCGCGCGCGACGAUGAUGACGGUAGCGCGAGAAGAAGCCCCGGCUAACUUCGUGCCAGCAGCCGC
rnacentral:rRNA from 1 species